AAUACGUUCCCGGGCCUUGUACACACCGCCCGUCAAGCCAUGGAAGCUGGGGGUACCUGAAGUCGGUCGCCGCAAGGAGCUGCCUAGGGUAAAACUGGUAACUGGGGCU
rnacentral:rRNA from 1 species